rnacentral:rRNA from 1 species
CACGCAGGCGGUUUGGCAAGUCGGAUGUGAAAACCCGAAGCUCAACUUCGGGCCUGCAUCCGAAACUGCCCGACUAGAGGUAGGUAGGGGAGAUCGGAAUUCCUGGUGUAGCGGUGAAAUGCGCAGAUAUCAGGAGGAACACCGGUGGCGAAGGCGGAUCUCUGGGCCUUACCUGACGCUCAGGUGCGAAAGCUAGGGGAGCGAACA